rnacentral:rRNA from 1 species
GCUUAGCCCUAAACUUAAGCAGCUAACUAACGAUGCUACUCGCCAGAGUACUACUAGCAACAGCUUAAAACUCAAAGGACUUGGCGGUGCUUUAUAUCCCUCUAGAGGAGCCUGUUCUGUAAUCGAUAAACCCCGAUAAACCUCACCAACUCUUGCUAAUACAGCCUAUAUACCGCCAUCUUCAGCAAACCCUAAAAAGGAAAUAAAGUAAGCAAAAUCAUAAAACAUAAAAACGUUAGGUCAAGGUGUAGCCUAUGAGUUGGAAAGAAAUGGGCUACAUUUUCUAGUAUAGAACAUCAACGAAAAUUUUCGUGAAACCGGAAAUAGAAGGAGGAUUUAGUAGUAAAUUAAGAACAGAGAGCUUAGUUGAAUUAGGCCAUGAAGCAC